rnacentral:lncRNA from 1 species
CUUAGAUUAGUUGUUGUCCACUAAAGCCCGGAGGACCAAAAAAAAAUCGGUUUGGGCUUUGGCAGAUGACAUCUACUUCCCCAACUUCUUCUCCUACUAAUGCAGUCCCACCAGCUACUUCUCCUUCUAAUGCUUCCGGCAUUACUCCUCCCAAUGUGUCACAGCAGCCUAAUCCGACUCCUGAUGCUCCACCUCCUUCUACCCCUUCAACCUCUUCCAGUCCGCCUCCUCAAUCCCCUCCUCCAGCCCCUCCUCCCCAACCCCAAUCAUCACCACCACCAUUAUCAACACGCCCCCUUCCCCUUCCUUACCUCCUCCGUCCUCCCUCCCCUUCCGUCUGUGCCACCUCCUGCUACCCCCCCUCCAUCUGUAAACUUAUCACCCCUCCUCCCCACAAGCAUCACCUUCCCCUCCCUUUGGCACAGCACCUCCCUCUCCAGCUCUUUCACCCUCUCCUCCUCUGCCAAUUACAGUCCCAUCACCAUCUACCUCAGUUUCUCCACCUCCUCCCGCUAUAAAGUCACCCCUCACUAGCCC